rnacentral:rRNA from 1 species
AUCGAACGCUGGCGGCAGGCCUAACACAUGCAAGUCGAACGAGUGGCGGACGGGUGAGUAAUGUCUGGGAAACUGCCUGAUGGAGGGGGAUAACUACUGGAAACGGUAGCUAAUACCGCAUACCAUCGGAUGUGCCCAGACGGGAUUAGCUAGUGGGUGGGGUAAAGGCUCACCUAGGCGACGAUCCCUAGCUGGUCUGAGAGGAUGACCGGCCACACUGGAACUGAGACACGGUCCAGACUCCUACGGGAGGCAGCAGUGGGGAAUAUUGCACAAUGGGCGCAAGCCUGAUGCAGCCAUGCCGCGUGUGUGAAGAAGGCCUUCGGGUUGUAAAGUACUUUCAGCAGGGAGGCGUUACCCACAGAAGAAGCACCGGCUAACUACGUGCCAGCAGCCGCGGUAAUUC